AUUGAACGCUGGCGGCAUGCCUUACACAUGCAAGUCGAACGGCAGCGGACCUUCGGGUGCCGGCGAGUGGCGAACGGGUGAGUAAUAUAUCGGAACGUACCUUUCAGUGGGGGAUAACGUAGCGAAAGUUACGCUAAUACCGCUAUAAUUCUGUGAGCAGGAAAGCAGGGGAUCGCAAGACCUUGCGCUGAUUGAGCGGCCGAUAUCAGAUUAGCUAGUUGGUGAGGUAAAGGCUCACCAAGGCGACGAUCUGUAGCGGGUCUGAGAGGAUGAUCCGCCACACUGGAACUGAGACACGGUCCAGACUCCUACGGGAGGCAGCAGUGGGGAAUUUUGGACAAUGGGCGCAAGCCUGAUCCAGCCAUGCCGCGUGAGUGAAGAAGGCCUCGGUUGUAAGUAC
rnacentral:rRNA from 1 species